rnacentral:lncRNA from 1 species
AUUAAUGGAGGUUUAACAGUUAUGUGAAAGAUCUUGUAUUCAUAUCCGUUUGAUGGAGUGUGAUCUAGCGGUGGUGGUUUCGUGUCGUUUCCUAUCUCGAAUAUUGAUAACUCCUAUGAAUAGAGUUAUUUCAAUUGUGGUCCACACCUUUAUUUUUGUAUCUUCCAAGUACCGACAAAUAUUCUUGAGUUUUCGGUAAUGUCUUCCUCUAGCUCUAUCUCCUUGUCG